AGUGAGCGCUGGCGGUAGGCCUAACACAUGCAAGUCGAACGGCAGCACAGUAAGAGCUUGCUCUUACGGGUGGCGAGUGGCGGACGGGUGAGGAAUACAUCGGAAUCUACUUUUUCGUGGGGGAUAACGUAGGGAAACUUACGCUAAUACCGCAUACGACCUACGGGUGAAAGCAGGGGAUCUUCGGACCUUGCGCGAUUGAAUGAGCCGAUGUCGGAUUAGCUAGUUGGCGGGGUAAAGGCCCACCAAGGCGACGAUCCGUAGCUGGUCUGAGAGGAUGAUCAGCCACACUGGAACUGAGACACGGUCCUGACUCCUACGGGAGGCAGCAGUGGGGAAUAUUGGACAAUGGGCGCAAGCCUGAUCCAGCCAUACCGCGUGGGUGAAGAAGGCCUUCGGGUUGUAAAGCCCUUUUGUUGGGAAAGAAAAGCAGCAGGUUAAUACCCCGCUGUUCUGACGGUACCCAAAGAAUAAGCACCGGCUAACUUCGUG
rnacentral:rRNA from 1 species